GACGAACCGUGCGAACGUUUAUUCGGAUUCACUGGGCUUAAAGGGCGCGUAGGCGGGCUCGCCAGUCCGGGGUGAAAUCUUUCGGCUUAACCGGAAAAGUGCCUCGGAUACUGCGAGCCUUGAGGGAGGUAGGGGCAUGUGGAACUUCCGGUGGAGCGGUGAAAUGCGUUGAUAUCGGAAGGAACACCGGUGGCGAAAGCGGCGCGCUGGACCUCUUCUGACGCUGAGGCGCGAAAGCCAGGGGAGCGAACGGG
rnacentral:rRNA from 1 species